rnacentral:rRNA from 1 species
AUUGAACGCUGGCGGCAGGCCUAACACAUGAAAGUAGAACGAGUGGCGGACGGGUGAGUAAUGUCUGGGAAACUGCCUGAUGGAGGGGGAUAACUAAUGGAAACGGUAGCUAAUACCGCAUACCAUCAAAUGUGCCCAGAUGGGAUUAGCUAGUUGGUGGGGUCACGUCACACCAAGGCGACGAUCCCUAGCUGGUCUGAGAGGAUGACCAGCCACACUGGAACUGAGACACGGUCCAGACGCCUACGGGAGGCAUCAGUGGGGAAUAUUGCACAAUGGGCGCAAGCCGGAUGCAGCCAUGCCGCGUGUAUGAAGAAGGCCUUCGGGUUGUAAAGUACUUUCAGCGGGGAGGCGUUACCCGAAGAAGAAGCACCGGCUAACUCCGUGCCAGCAGCCGCGGUAAUAC